CAGUAGCCACGGUAAUACGUAGGUGGCAAGCGUUGUCCGGAAUUAUUGGGCGUAAAGGGCUCGCAGGCGGUUUCUUAAGUCUGAUGUGAAGGCCCCCGGCUCAACCGGGGAGGGUCAUUGGAAACUGGGAAACUUGAGUGCAGAAGAGGAGAGUGGAAUUCCACGUGUAGCGGUGAAAUGCGUAGAGAUGUGGAGGAACACCAGUGGCGAAGGCGACUCUCUGGUCUGUAACUGACGCUGAGGAGCGAAAGCGUGGGGAGCGAACAGGAUUAGAUACCCCCGUAGUCCCUGUCUCUUAUAC
rnacentral:rRNA from 1 species